rnacentral:rRNA from 1 species
UACAGAGGUCCCAAGCGUUGUUCGGAUUCACUGGGCGUAAAGGGUGCGCAGGUGGGUUUGCAAGUUCGAUGUGAAAGCCCCGGGCUUAACCCGGGAAUGGCAUUGGAUACUGCAGAUCUGGAGGAUCGGAGGGGGAGCUGGAAUUCUUGGUGUAGCAGUGAAAUGCGUAGAUAUCAAGAGGAACACCAGUGGCGAAGGCGAGUCCCUGGACGAUACCUGACACUGAGGCACGAAAGCUAGGGGAGCAAACAGG